UUUUGAAUGGAAAUUCUCUGGUCGGUGGUCUUUGGCGCUGCUCAAAACUAGUCAACAACGAACAGCACUCGUGGAUAGUUGUUUGCUUGCGGUAUUAAAUAAAUUUGAAUAUUUUGUUUUCGAAGUAAUAACCCCAACGAAAACUCGAUUUGAGAAUUUGAAUUUGUUUGUUUGCUUUUUGGGUAAUACGGUUAGGAAAUACGACAAUAACGCGAGUGCGAAACGGUGAAAAGUGAAAAGCAGAUUUUUUUUGUAUUUAAAUGGAAAACAGUGAAAGUGAUUCCAGCGGAAUAGUAUUGUUUUUCAAAUUAAAUAAAAGGAAAUAAAAAAA